AAGUAGAGUUACUUUAUGCGAAACAUGCAGAAAAAAACUAUUUAAGAACAUCAAUU
rnacentral:tRNA from 1 species